GGGGGGGGGGGGGGGGGGGGCGGGCGGGGGCAGGGCGGGCGGCGGCGCGGUAGGGGCUUGCUCUUACGGGUGGCGAGUGGCGGACGGGUGAGGAAUACAUCGGAAUCUACUUUUUCGUGGGGGAUAACGUAGGGAAACUUACGCUAAUACCGCAUACGACCUACGGGUGAAAGCAGGGGAUCUUCGGACCUUGCGCGAUUGAAUGAGCCGAUGUCGGAUUAGCUAGUUGGCGGGGUAAAGGCCCACCAAGGCGACGAUCCGUAGCUGGUCUGAGAGGAUGAUCAGCCACACUGGAACUGAGACACGGUCCAGACUCCUACGGGAGGCAGCAGUGGGGAAUAUUGGACAAUGGGCGCAAGCCUGAUCCAGCCAUACCGCGUGGGUGAAGAAGGCCUUCGGGUUGUAAAGCCCUUUUGUUGGGAAAGAAAAGCAGCAGGUUAAUACCCCGCUGUUCUGACGGUACCCAAAGAAUAAGCACCGGCUAACUUCGUG
rnacentral:rRNA from 1 species